GAACGAGAAAGUGGAGCAAUCCAUGAGUAAAGUGGCGUACGGGUGAGUAACACGUGGAUCAUCUGCCCUUUAGUGGGGAAUACCGCUGGGAAACCGGCGACAAUACCGCAUAAGCUCGAGAGAGGAAAGCAGCAAUGCGCUGAAGGAGGAGUCCGCGGUCGAUUAGCUAGUUGGUAGGGUAAUGGCCUACCAAGGCUGUGAUCGAUAGCCGGCCUGAGAGGGCACACGGCCACACUGGCACUGAAACACGGGCCAGACUCCUACGGGAGGCAGCAGUGGGGAAUCUUGCACAAUGGGGGAAACCCUGAUGCAGCGACGCCGCGUGAGCGAUGAAGCCCUUCGGGGUGUAAAGCUCUUUCGGCAGGGAAGAUUAUGACGGUACCUGCAGAAGCAGCUGCGGCUAACUACGUGCCAGCAGCCGCGGUAAUACGUAGGCAGCAAGCGUUGUUCGGAGUUACUGGGCGUAAAGGGUGCGUAGGCGGCUCGAUAAGUAUGGUGUGAAAUCUCCCGGCUUAACUGGGAGGGUGCGCUAUAGACUGCCGGGCUGGAGUGUGGGAGAGGAAAGUGGAAUUCCUGGUGUAGCGGUGAAAUGCGUAGAUAUCAGGAGGAACACCGGUGGUGUAAACGGCUUUCUGGACCAUAACUGACGCUGAGGUGCGAAAGCGUGGGGA
rnacentral:rRNA from 1 species